CCCUUAGAUGUCCUGGGCCGCACGCGCGCUACAAUGACUUGCUCAGAAAGUUCUACCUGGUCCGGAAGGAUUCAGGGUAAUCUUUUCAAUACAAGUCGUGUUAGGGAUCGAUCUUUGCAAUUAUAGAUCUUGAACGAGGAAUGCCUAGUAAGUGCAGCUCAUCAGGCUGUACUGAUUACGUCCCUGCCCUUUGUACACACCGCCCGUCGCUCCUACCGAUUUCGAGUGGUCCGGUGAACCUUCUGGACUGAGACCUCUGGUCUUGGGAAGUUAAGUAAACCUUAUCACUUAGAGGAAGGAGAAGUCGUAACA
rnacentral:rRNA from 1 species